rnacentral:lncRNA from 1 species
CUGACCUGUAGUUUGAUUUCCAGUGUCUAGACUUAACAGUCUGAAUUUAAACACGAGGCAUAUACACAAAAUCAUCUGGAACUGAUUUUUUCACACUAAACACUUCUUUCUGAUCCUACUUUCCAGGAGGCUCCUUCCUCCAAACAUACCUCCAGAUGAAAAUCACUUAAUUAACCAAGAAAGACUCAACCGCCCUUAACUGCUUUUCUAAACAGUCACACAUACUGGAUUUACUUAUUUUGAGACAUGACAAACCAGUUGCAAACCACAAAUUCAUUCUCAUGGGCCCUCCACACGGUCUCUUGUUCCUUCUGAAGAGGGUCUUGCUGAGGACCAUUUGUCCCCCUUCCUGCAGCAGCUACUCAGUCGGUGCCGGAGAGUGUGGCCUUUCGAACUAUUUGCGGUUUUCCUGCCACAUGAUGCUGACGGACCUCAGCCUCUCCCGGCCUUGGUGCACAUACAACAGCCUGUAAAAGCUCCACUUUCUAUUCCAGAUUGCUGUUAUGCGUCUGCUUCUCAUUCAAAGGAAAUAAGAGGAGAUGUAAAUCGUCGCUGUGCAGUUACGUGUUUAAUGAAAAUGAUCUUGCAUGCUAGAUUCACGUCCAGGAGCGAGUCGCCCUUACUGCUGGUAUUGAACUCACUCUCCUUGGAGCGCCCCAAGGCUGUGGGCUGUGGGGGGGCAUUAGUGUGUGUGGGCGCAGCUAUUAUUUGUACCAGGAGGCACAAGUCUGCACAGCAACCUGAAGAUUUAGAUUUUCAAGAAACUGCAAAUCCUGACACACCUGGUGAUAAAACCCAGAUGCUCUCCCCAACUCAUACCUUGUCCCGCAACUCCCACUCCCCACUUCCUGACUAGACUUUUUAUUUUUUGGUCCAGAAGAUAGGGGUAAGAGAAGAAUGCUGAAGGGAGUGAGUGGAUGAGAGAAUGCUUGGCUUACUUGCCCAUUAGAUAGUUCCAGCUCCAAAUACUGUUCUAAUUAAGAACAAAAUAAAACCAUUCUCCCCCACUGGCUGUCUGGUAUGUAGACAAAUUUGGAAAUAGGUAAACAGUUGCUGUAUUAGAAUUGGGUAUAUUUUAGCUUGAUGACAAUAUUUACUUGAUUUUAUCACUGAAGAGAAUCACGAUCUUUGUGACAUAUACAGUCCUUCUUAUUCUUUUAGCUCUAUCUUUAUUAAACUAGAUUGUCAUCAAAUGGUGGUCACAGGUCAUUGUCAAAUUCAUUUAUAAGAUAGUUUCAAUCUGUACUUAUUUAGCAGUGCAGAGAAUUUUAGACACACUACCUUUUCACUGUUUGUAAAAAAAAAUUUGAAAAAUAAGAAUUGUAAUGUAAAAAAUAUUGGAAGACUAAUUCUUAACCUACAUGAAGAAACAGUUUUCAGCAGCUUUCUAAAUGUCUUGUUUACAUCCAAAUUGUUGAGAAGCUCGUUGCCAAUCUGUUAAUUCAUGAAAAUUCAACCUUUUAGGAUGUCCACUAAGCUGCCUUUUAUUAGCCCGGUUUGAAUGACUGUGUUCGUACUUGAGAUGAGUUGAACUGAAUUGCCUUAAAAAUUCAAAUCUGUAAUGAAUUCAUAAGGAGUUUUCAUCCCAAAGUUCAAAUUGGUAGGGCCUAGUAAUAACUUUAGACAUUUAUGUGGUGACGAGCUUUUAAUCUUCCUUAAGGUUUUUAAAACUCUGCAUGUACUGUCCUUCUUCUAUGUUCUCUUGUCCUUUUAGUUGGUUUUGGUAGAAAUUUUAUAAGGCAAAUUAAUGAAAGUUAUCUCCUGAGUGGCAGUUUACAACAAAAACAGAUGUAAAGGAGAAAAAAAUGAAAUGAAAAUUUGGAUUAAAGAAGAAAAAAGUCUCAUGUUAGUAACAGAUAUAACAAAAAGAGUGAACUCUACGUGGCUAUAAGUUCCUUGACAGCAAGGACUUUGCCUUUCUUAGGUGGAAUCUAUUGACAUGUAGAGAAGGAAUGUUUUACUUAGGAGGUUGUCAAGGAAUGUCUGUCAAGUAGGGGUAGAAGGAAGGAAUUAACAGGGCUUUGAGAACAUUCUCACAUUUGAAGUGCUAAUAAUUUCUGGUGUGAAUUUGGUGAUAACAGUGUUUCAGUAUUUAAUAUUAAUUUGAAUUUUCUGGCUGGUUAUUAACUUGAGUUACGUUUAUAGGUGAUGAAACAAACGAAGAGGAUUGCAUGUUUAUACACAGUAGAACUUGAGGGUUUUCUAAUAAGCAUACUUUAACAUUGCCUCAGCCUGUAAAUCUGGGAUUACAAGGCAGAUAAGUUUUAGGGUGAUUACUUCUUUCACCCCAUAAUUACUUCAUGGAUUUGCCGUGGUGUUUCUGUAAGUAGUGAGCAUCUCUAGUAAACUGACAUUUUGAUUCUAUUUAAACAACUCAUUUUACCCAGUUUUUCAGCAGCACAUUGACUGGAUAAAGUAAGGCGCGCAUCUGUCCUCACUUUUUUGAGUCUUGCUCCUAAGUCUUGUGAAGAAAAUAUGGGUGCACGUAUGCAUUCCUUUAUUUAGAGUAACUUCAUUGCAUGAAGUUGAGCUGAAGAACUAGGAGGAAAAUAGCUCUUUUUGUAAGUUGUGCUUUAGGAGACUUUGGAUUUAGCUAGGAAUGGGAUACUGAGAAAAACUGAGGUUUCACCUCCUCUAAACAAUGGGACAGUGUUCUCAUCUCUUUGGGACUAUAUACAUAUCUAUUUAUAUCCUGCUUUAGUCCAGAAGGAAUUUCAGCUUUGGAAAAAACCAUGCACACACACAAAGAUACAAAUAAAGUGUAAGUGAAGUAAUCAGAGUAAGAGGUUGGGGAAGGUAAGUCGAAACCAAAAGUGUAAUUAGUAUACAGAUUAUAGGCUCUGCAGACCUACACGGUCACAGGAAGACCACCACAUAUUUGGCUGUUAGCUUUUGAACAAAGCCAAUGCAAAGAGGAUAACAUGAACGAUGCACGGUUCCCAGUGUCUGUGCCAAAAUCGUCUAAGUUCAGUCCGGUCUAGAAGGCCGGGGGAUGGAGCUGACCUCAGGGGAACCCUGCUGAAGUUGUGACAUUUAUUCAGUCAAGAAGUAUUUAUUGGACAUGAACAAUUUGUCAGUGACCAUGCUAGACACUGGGGAUACGCAGUCCCACCUUUAAGGACACACAGUAUAGGGGAUAGAUCAAUAAAAUAGACUGAAAUUGCAGUGCAGUGGGAUAAAUGCCGUGGAGGGGAGUAGGCAUGAGGUAUUAGACUGGGAGACGGGGAUAUCUGGGGAAGAUUUGUGUUGGUGCCUCAGCUGACUUCUAAAGCCUACAUACUUCUUAACCCAGGCAAAAGUGGAAAUGCAUUCUAGGUAGAGGACAAGUAGCCAGAACAAAGUGACAAAGAUUUUUAUAUUGUAACGUUGUGGCCUUUUUUCCCUCCAUGAAGAAAAAUAAGAAUUCAAUCUUUGGUUUAGAAACUCUGAGAAGCACCACCUCUUGAUCAGGCAAUGCACGUCUUUGUAAUAGUGCCGGUCUAUCAAGGCAGCUCUCAUUUCAUCACUAACGAAUCAAAAGCUUCUUUCACAUCACUGUUUCUGGGUUUUUGUGUAUAUUUUGUUAGCUUUAACUUUUAAAAUUAUUUUAUUUUUGAGACAGGGUCUCACUCUGUCGCCCAGGCUGGGUGCAGUCAUGUGAUCGUGGCUCACAGCAGCCUCAGCCUCGCUCAAGCGAUCCUCCCAGUUCAGCCUCCUGAGUAGCUGGAACUACAGGCAUGCACUACCAUGACUAGCUAAUUUUUCUUUUCUUUUUUUUUUUUUAAGUAGAGAUGGCGUCUUGCUGUGUUGCCCAGGCUGGUCUUGAAUUGUGUUCAAGUGAUCCUCCCACCUCAGCCUCCCAAAGUGCUGAGAUUAUAGGCACGAGUCUCUGUGCCUGGCUUUUUCUUUUUUUCUUUUACCAUUUUAUUGGACUUGAUGUGGAUUUCCCUACCACGCAUUUGAUCCUAAAGAAACUCUAUCAGCACAUUUUUUCCAGGUGAUAUGUGUUUGCUGAAAUAGUCAUAUGCAAUAUAUUUAGUGGUCUCUGGAGUAGCUCUGUCAACACUGUCGAAUUUGAAAUUGUAACUUAAGUAUUCUGUACUGUCUUCUCUAUUUUAACUUUCAUAUUAAUGCUUAAAUGCCUACUGUUCCAACAUAAAUGGAUUUUGCUUAACAAAUACUUUUCCACCAUACAUGUUUUUUAAAAAGAUGAUUUUUGAAGAGCAAAUUUAGGUUCACAGCAUAAUUGAGAGGAAGUUUACAUGUAUUUAUGGGCUACAGAGUGAUAUUUCGAUACAUGUAUAUAAUGCAUAAUGAUCAAAUCAGGGUAAUUAGCAUAUCCAUCAGCUUGAACAUUUAUCAUUUUUGCCACACUUUUUAUCUUGUUGAUAGUGCACAAUUUUCAUGGCUUUGCCUCUUGUUAUUUCCCCUCAUGUAUGUAGGUCUGGUGAAAUCACACGUAGGGAGAACAUUUUUACAAUGCACAUUUGUGAAGGCUUAGAAACACGGUGGUUACAAACUGAGCUUUGCCACUUAAUCUCGUGUGACCUGGAUAAACGACUUCAUACCAAACUUCAUAUAGUUUCCUCAUCCAUAAACCUGUAACACUCAGGCUUAUUGGAGUAACAUAUGAAAUGGAGGUUAUCUAAGUAUUUGUUGAAUGAAUGUCCCCCUGCCCGCACUCCCUCCGUUUUUUUCUUUUUCUCCUGCUUCCUAUGAAAUAGAAAACUGGUAGGCAUUGCAGGAUGAAAUGAGGAAAGGCAGGGAGGAGAGGCAUAAAAUAUAUUCUUGCUAAUUUGCUAGUGUCUUUUUUUCCCCUCAUCAACUUUAUUGAGCAAUAAUUUUAUGCAGUUAAAUGAAUCUAUUUAAUUGGAUGAAUUUUGACAGUUUUAUAUACCCAUGAAGCCACAGUCACAAUCAAGAUAGAGAACAUUUCCAUUACUUCCAAAAUAUUUCUGUGCCACUUUUUUCUUUACUAUUUCCUUAUUGUAGUAAAAUGUAUAUAUAAUGAAAUUUUCCAUUAUGACCACUUUUAGGUAUACAAUCCAGUAGCAUUAAGUGCAUUCAUGUUGUUCUGCACCCGUUACCACUGUCCAGCUCCAGAACUCUUUUUCAUCAUCCAGAACUGAAACUUUGAACCCAUUAAAUGAUAACUCCCCAUUCCCCUUUUGCCCCAGCCUCUGGCAACCACCAUUCUACUUCCUG